AGUGAACGCUGGCGGUAGGCCUAACACAUGCAAGUCGAACGGCAGCACAGUAAGAGCUUGCUCUUACGGGUGGCGAGUGGCGGACGGGUGAGGAAUACAUCGGAAUCUACUUUUUCGUGGGGGAUAACGUAGGGAAACUUACGCUAAUACCGCAUACGACCUACGGGUGAAAGCAGGGGAUCUUCGGACCUUGCGCGAUUGAAUGAGCCGAUGUCGGAUUAGAUAGUUGGCGGGGUAAAGACCCACCAAGGCGACGAUCCGUAACUGGUCUGAGAGAAUGAGCAGCCACACUGGAACUGAGACACGGUCCAGACUCCUCAGGGAGGCAGCAGUGGGGAAUAUUGGACAACAGGCGCAAGCCUGAUCCAGCCAUACCGCGUGGGUGAAGAAGGCCUUCGGGUUGUAAAGACCUUUUGUUGGGAAAGAAAAGCAGCAGGUUAAUACCCCGCUGUUCUGACGGUACCCAAAGAAUAAGCACCGGCUAACUACGUG
rnacentral:rRNA from 1 species